AGCCAGACGACUAGAGUGGAAGCACAGGAGCUCACAGCUGCAGUCUACUGGCUUGUUUUUGGGAGGCAGAAUUGCUGAGCCAUUCCUCUCAAAAUACCAUCUCUUCUCUCUGCCAUCGAGGCAUAGAUUUCAUCUGGUGGAGCAGCCGAGGAGUUGAGAUGCAAAAGGAAGAGUCUAUUUAUGGUUAGAAUAAAAAAACUUGGAAUUAUUCUUUGUCUCCAUCUAGCAGGACAUACAUUUCAAAGAGGCGAGCUUGGAUAGUGAUUUUAUCGAGUGCAUUCGCUGCGUAUGUGUACAUAUGAUUGUGUGCGCGUCCCAGACCAUGGUUUCAGGCUGAGAAGUUGAACAGAAUGGGUUGGAUUACCUGUCCGUCCCAUCACGAACCCAUUCCCCUCACCAAAGGUCCCAGUGCGGAUGUCCAGUCAGAUGGGCCCAUCUGCAUUGGAUGGCUUUGAUUGCACUUUUGAUCAGAGACUAUGUCCGCAGAGCUGGGACAAGGUGGUCGCUCCACUCCAGGGUUAAGGCGACUUUCGUAGACUGAGUCCAUGUCCAUCGGGCAGGGCAGAGUCGAAGGGAAAUGGCAAUGCAGCAGCUGAGCUGAGCUCAGACAGACAGAUGCAGUGACCUCAAUCAGCCCCAGUCAUGUCUGGACACAGCCAGAGUGAGGCAGACAGAGCGAGAGCAACGGAGAGAGGGGGAGCGCAAACCACACAUACUGUCUCGUACAUAUACUCACACUAGGGGAUGAAGAGAAGCGAAGGAGGCUGUAAGGGGAGGGGAAACUGAGUUGUCUCUCUCUCUCCUGCUUUUUCUCUCCACCACUUUAUUUUGCUUUAUAUGCUGGUGUUCACAUUGACUGCACGUCUACAUUGAUCUCCAGAGCGAAAUACUAUCUUGUUCCCCCCUUUACUUCCCCCGAUUUCACUUUAUCAUCCAGGUCAGUGACAUAUGAACUCAUGAACGAUACAAAAUCAUGGAGGACACACUCUGCUGAAUAACCACCCUGAAGAUCACAUGUAAUCAUACGCUGCCAUCAAAACCAGGGACAAGCACGUUCAGCUCUCUGUAGAGACUGCCUGGUGUUCCUACCCCGUACGCUUUUAUGAUCAAGAACGAGGCAUCAGGGCCUGAGAUCUGAGCAGUGUUUCCUGUGAGAAUCCUUUGGCUGUGCUGUGCAAUCUGCCGCUCACCACUGACAGCAGUCCAUCCCCGCACUAACAUCAUUACCCAUUCCCACUGAAGCUGAGCUCCACUCUGCUCUGUUUUUGUUUGUGUGUUUACAGUAAAUGGCAGGAUAAAAGGUGAGCUGAAGUGAGUUGGUCGGACAGGCCUUGCCAAACCCACAGGCUGUUCUGCUGCUCUGCUACCGCUGCCAUGUUUUGAUGUGCACCACUUUGCAGAUGCAGUUUUGGGCCAUUACCAAUAAGCUUCCGUGCAGAAGGAGGGAUCUAUAUUUGGACUGAGAGUCUGGUAAAGUAACGGACAUCUUUCAAGCAAGAAAGUCCAGCAUCAGGGUGCAGCUGGUCAUGAGGAAAGAUUGACCUUGAUUGCUGUAUGUAUGAAAUAAAGAGGUUGAAAAGCAUUCCCUUGAAUCCAAGAGCUGCCGAGGUGUUUCCAUGGAGAGAACCAUUUCUCUUUGCUUUCCAGCACAGCUACAACUAACCAAAUAGCCUCUCAUGUGUAUAAAAAUGGAAUCAAAUAAAGAAGUGAUCACUA